AAACUUCUUCUCCCAGUUUUUCGAUUCUCGGGAGAAAAGUAGAAGGAGAAAAGUAGAACAGCAUGGUCAGCCAUCCCGAAAAAGUGGCCGCGCAGGCUAAACGAGGGCGAUUGAAGGGGAAGGA
ensembl:ncRNA C54H2.11 ncRNA